GACGAACGCUGGCGGCGUGCUUAACACAUGCAAGUCGAACGGAAAGGCCCUGCUUUUGUGGGGUGCUCGAGUGGCGAACGGGUGAGUAACGCGUGAGUAACCUGCCCUUGACUUUGGGAUAACUUCAGGAAACUGGGGCUAAUACCGGAUAGGAGCUCCUGCUGCAUGGUGGGGGUUGGAAAGUUUCGGCGGUUGGGGAUGGACUCGCGGCUUAUCAGCUUGUUGGUGGGGGAGUGGCUUACCAAGGCUUUGACGGGUAGCCGGCCUGAGAGGGUGACCGGCCACAUUGGGACUGAGAUACGGCCCAGACUCCUACGGGAGGCAGCAGUGGGGAAUAUUGCACAAUGGGCGGAAGCCUGAUGCAGCAACGCCGCGUGCGGGAUGACGGCCUUUGGGUUGUAAACCGCUUUCGCCUGUGACGAAGCGUGAGUGACGGUAAUGGGUAAAGAAGCACCGGCUAACUACGUG
rnacentral:rRNA from 1 species